UACGGAGGAUCCAAGCGUUAUCCGGAAUCAUUGGGUUUAAAGGGUCCGUAGGCGGUCUUGUAAGUCAGUGGUGAAAGCCCAUCGCCCAACGAUGGAACGGCCAUUGAUACUGCAGGACUUGAAUUAUUGGGAAGUAACUAGAAUAUGUAGUGUAGCGGUGAAAUGCUUAGAGAUUACAUGGAAUACCAAUUGCGAAGGCAGGUUACUACUAAUGGAUUGACGCUGAUGGACGAAAGCGUGGGGAGCGAACAGG
rnacentral:rRNA from 1 species